rnacentral:rRNA from 1 species
UCGACAACCUGGUUGAUCCUGCCAGUAGUGUAUGCUUCUCCUAAAGAUUAAGCCAUGCAUGCCUUCGAAUAAGGGUAAGCUAUUCUCUCUGAAUCUGCGAACGGCUCCGCACACCAGUUGUAAACCAAAGCAAGCAUGCCCGUUCUUCUGUCCUUCACGGGGCAGGGGGGCGGGUCGAUGGAUACCCCCGGUAAUUCUAAGGCUAAUACACGAGCGUAGAGCCCCGCCAACUGGCCCUCGGGCUGGGAGGCGGGGGGACGUGCCCGUUAGGUUGCAGGAGGACCGGGAGUGGGGGUGCGUCAGGACCGCGAUCAAAAAGAUGGGCCGGCUUCUUUGCCUCACGGCAUCGUUGGCCCCUCUAGCGGCACUUGCUACGUGCUUCUGACCUAUCAACUUGAUGGCAGCCUAAAGGACAUGCCAUGGUGACAACGGGUACAGAGGAUUAGGGUUCGAUCCUGGAGAGUGGGCCUGAGAGAUUGCUCAUACUUCUAAGGAAGGCAGCAGGCGCGCAACGUUCCCACUGGUCAACGACCGAGGGCGUUAGGGGACAUAUGAAUGCCCGCCCUAUGGGUGGACAAUUCAAAUGGAUCUGUUUUAAACAGACUCUUGAGUAACAAUUAGAGGACAAGUCUGGUGCCAGCACCCGCGGUAAUUCCAGCUCUAAUAGCAUACGUUAAAGUUGUUGCGGUUAAAACGCUCGUAGUCGGCUCAAGAUCAUCAGAAGCCCUAUGCGGGGGCCCGGGCCUGUACCCCUUCGGGGGUGCGCCGGGCUUCUGCUGCAGGUGGGCGGUGAUCAAGUGCCCCCUUCACCGUAUCCUCCCUUCGGGGGGGACGCACAGAGCCUUCCCUGGCCCUACCCUUCACGGGGCGGGGCUGGGGGGGGCUCGGAGGGGGGGGCCACUUACCAUGAUCAAACUGGAGUGCUCAAAGCAGGCCGCAAGGCCUCUGCACAGACUAGCAUGGCAUAACUUUUGCCCUCUGGCGCGCCCUGCAGGAGCGUCGGGGGGUAGGAGCGAUAGGGGUGUUCGAGGGUGACCGAAUUGUCGGGCGAGCGGUGAAAUGCGUUGACCCUGGCAAGUCGUCCAAAGGCGAAAGCAGUCAUCAAGGGCAUUCCCAUUGAUCAAGAGCGAAAGUUAAGGGUUCGAAUACGAUCAGAUACCGUAGUAGUCUUAACUAUAAAUGAUACUGACCAGGGAUAGGACAGUGUCCUUCUCGACUCCUCCCGGACCUUAGAGAAAUCAAAGUCUUUGAGUUCCGGGGGGAGUAUGGUCGCAAGGCUGAAACUUAAAGGAAUUGACGGAAAGGCACACAAAGAGUGGAACCUGCGGCUUAAUUUGACUCAACACGGGAAAACUCACCAGGUCCUGAUACGCGUAUGAAAGACAAGCUGAGAGACUUUUCUCAAUGACGUAAGUGGUGGUGCAUGGUCGUUCUUAGUUCGUGGAAUGGUUUGUCUGGUUUAUUCCGAUAACGAGCGAGACCCCAGUGUCCUUAAUAGGAGUGCCAGCCCGGCUCGACCGCCCUUCGGGGCGGACCUGCCAGCAGGCGUCUCACUAGCUUCUUAGGCAUAUCAGAGCCGAUAAGGUUCUUGAAAUGGGUUAAUAACAGGUCAGUCAUGCCCUUAGAUGUUCUGGGCCGCACGCGCGUUACAAUGGUAGCCAUCAGAAAGUGCCUAUAUAGGGUUGCCCCGCGGCCGACGGGUCGCGGUAAUCCCUAAUCGUUCCCUUGACUGGGACAGACUCUUGCAAUUAUUGGUCUCGAACGAGGAAUUUUUAGUAUACGCCGGUCAUUAACCGGCGCGGAAUGCGUCCCUGCCUUUUGUACACACCGCCCGUCGCUGCUACCGAUUGGGUUUCACAGUUACGAGUUCAGAGGACGGGGCCGACUGCCUUCAUUGGUGACUGGCCCUGACCAAAGUCCUAAUUACUGUGCGGCCUAGAGGAAGCAGAAGUCGUAACAAGGUAAUCGUAGGUGAACCUGCAGAAGGAUCAAGCUUGGAUCCCGGG